rnacentral:rRNA from 1 species
GACGAACGCUGGCGGCGUGCUUAACACAUGCAAGUCGAACGGAAAGGCCCUGCUUUUGUGGGGUGCUCGAGUGGCGAACGGGUGAGUAACACGUGAGUAACCUGCCCUUGACUUUGGGAUAACUUCAGGAAACUGGGGCUAAUACCGGAUAGGAGCUCCUGCUGCAUGGUGGGGGUUGGAAAGUUUCGGCGGUUGGGGAUGGACUCGCGGCUUAUCAGCUUGUUGGUGGGGUAGUGGCUUACCAAGGCUUUGACGGGUAGCCGGCCUGAGAGGGUGACCGGCCACAUUGGGACUGAGAUACGGCCCAGACUCCUACGGGAGGCAGCAGUGGGGAAUAUUGCACAAUGGGCGGAAGCCUGAUGCAGCAACGCCGCGUGCGGGAUGACGGCCUUCGGGUUGUAAACCGCUUUCGCCUGUGACGAAGCGUGAGUGACGGUAAUGGGUAAAGAAGCACCGGCUAACUACGUGCCAGCAGCCGCGGUGAUACGUAGGGUGCGAGCGUUGUCCGGAUUUAUUGGGCGUAAAGGGCUCGUAGGUGGUUGAUCGCGUCGGAAGUGUAAUCUUGGGGCUUAACCCUGAGCGUGCUUUCGAUACGGGUUGACUUGAGGAAGAUAGGGGAGAAUGGAAUUCCUGGUGGAGCGGUGGAAUGCGCAGAUAUCAGGAGGAACACCAGUGGCGAAGGCGGUUCUCUGGGCCUUUCCUGACGCUGAGGAGCGAAAGCGUGGGGAGCGAACAGGCUUAGAUACCCUGGUAGUCCACGCUGUAAACGGUGGGUACUAGGUGUGGGGUCCAUUCCACGGGUUCCGUGCCGUAGCUAACGCUUUAAGUACCCCGCCUGGGGAGUACGGCCGCAAGGCUAAAACUCAAAGGAAUUGACGGGGCCCCGCACAAGCGGCGGAGCAUGCGGAUUAAUUCGAUGCAACGCGUAGAACCUUACCUGGGUUUGACAUGGAUCGGGAGUGCUCAGAGAUGGGUGUGCCUCUUUUGGGGUCGGUUCACAGGUGGUGCAUGCCUGUCGUCAGCUCGUGUCGUGAGAUGUUGGGUUAAGUCCCGCAACGAGCGCAACCCUUGUUCACUGUUGCCAGCACGUUAUGGUGGGGACUCAGUGGAGACCGCCGGGGUCAACUCGGAGGAAGGUGGGGAUGACGUCAAGUCAUCAUGCCCCUUAUGUCCAGGGCUUCACGCAUGCUACAAUGGCUGGUACAGAGAGUGGCGAGCCUGUGAGGGUGAGCGAAUCUCGGAAAGCCGGUCUCAGUUCGGAUUGGGGUCUGCAACUCGACCUCAUGAAGUCGGAGUCGCUAGUAAUCGCAGAUCAGCAACGCUGCGGUGAAUACGUUCCCGGGGCU